GCCUAUGGCCAUACCACCCUGGCAAUGCCCAAACUCAUCUGAUCUUGGAAGCUAAGAAGGGUAGGGCCUGGUUAGUACUUGGAUGGGAGACAUCCUGGGAAUACCGGGUGCUGUAGGCU
rfam:Anas platyrhynchos breed Pekin duck contig64624, whole genome shotgun sequence.